rnacentral:lncRNA from 1 species
GAACAACUGGGGGCAGCUUGGCCCAGGCUCACGGGGCUGGGGGCAGGCGGGACAGUGGUUAGAGCGAGUGUAGCUGCCGACAGACCGUGGGCUUGGCCUCAGAGGCUGACCUGGGGUUGCUGGUCCCCCCUGGGUCUGCGAAGUGGAAGAAGCACUGGGAGCCAGUCCCAUGGGCUGCUGUGGGGGCUGGAGAGGUAAUGGCUGGAGGGUCGGGUCCACAGCAGGUGCCAAGUCAGGGCCACCUACGUCCUGCUCUCUGCUGUGGGCUCCCUGGCGGAGAGUGGGCAGCCUGCUGCUCUGUGCCUCGGUUUCCUCAUUUGCCACACAGCUAUGAGCUUGAGCCAUAUGACACUGUCAUCUUGUGUGGGUGUCCCAGGCGCACUCCUGCCGAGGAGGCUGAGGCCCCAGCAGGUGCCCCAGCAGGUCACGGCCACUGCUCUGCUCAACCUGGUGGCAGCUGGCAGGACGUUGCCUGGGCUGCUGAGCCACCUGCCCAGCACACAGUCAUCGCCACCUGCUCACAGACCAGCCUGGGGCCAGCCUGCGGAUUGUGCACCUUCCGCCGGCUGCAGAGGGGCCCCCAGAUCGGCACGCUGGGCAGCCUGUGGGCGAGGGGAGCACAGGGGAGGCAGAGGCCACCCCCCCAUUUGGCCACACUCAGGGUGACAACAGUCACAGAACAAGCGAACAAGCGAAUCAAGGAAACAGCAUCGUUCCUGGCAUGGCAGCCAGGACACACGGGGCAGAGGACGUGGGGGUUCACCUGCUUCAGGGGGUGCCCGGGAUGCCAGCAGGGUGGCUCAGGUUGGUUUCAGGUGUCAGCAUGUUUGAAACCCCAGGGCGCAGCUGCCUCGUGUAGCGUCCCAACCCUGAAGGCCGAGGGCCUUCCAUUAUUCGCAGAUCGUACCCUCCCCGCAGGAAGCCUCCUCCACCGACACCAGCUGCCUGAGACUCUGGGCUCAGGCUGGUCCAAGGGGCGAGCGGAUGUCUUAUUUAUGCCUUGAGCAUCUUGUCAUGACUUCCGUGCCCCCAGGACCCUGGGAGGCCAGGCCGCGGCCCCCCCACCCCUCUGUGUGGGCACCUUCCCGGACUGUGGUCCGAGAGGGGGUCUGAGUCCCGUCUGGUGGUCUGAAGCAGAUCCAGCCAACUCAGAACGUCCCUUCC